rnacentral:rRNA from 1 species
AGUGAACGCUGGCGGUAGGCCUAACACAUGCAAGUCGAACGGCAGCACAGUAAGAGCUUGCUCUUACGGGUGGCGAGUGGCGGACGGGUGAGGAAUACAUCGGAAUCUACUUUUUCGUGGGGGAUAACGUAGGGAAACUUACGCUAAUACCGCAUACGACCUACGGGUGAAAGCAGGGGAUCUUCGGACCUUGCGCGAUUGAAUGAGCCGAUGUCGGAUUAGCUAGUUGGCGGGGUAAAGGCCCACCAAGGCGACGAUCCGUAGCUGGUCUGAGAGGAUGAGCAGCGACACUGGAAAUGAGACACGGUCCAGAAUCCUACGGGAGGCAGCAGUGGGGAAGAUUGGAAAAGGGGCGCAAGCCGGAUCGAGCCAUACCGGGUGGGUGAAGAAGGCCUUCGGGUUGUAAAGCCCUGUUGUUGGGAAAGAAAAGCAGCAGGUUAAUACCCCGCUGUUAUGACGGGACCCAAAGAAUAAGCACAGGCUAACUUCGGG